AUUUCCUCGGGCGCAGCAGUGGGGAAUAUUGCACAAUGGGGGAAACCCUGAUGCAGCGACGCCGCGUGAGUGAAGAAGUAUUUCGGUACGUAAAGCUCUAUCAGCAGGGAAGAAAAUGACGGUACCUGACUAAGAAGCCCCGGCUAACUACGUGCCAGCAGCCGCGGUAAUACGUAGGGGGCAAGCGUUAUCCGGAUUUACUGGGUGUAAAGGGAGCGUAGACGGCAGCGCAAGUCUGAAGUGAAAUCCAAUGGCUUAACCAUGGAACUGCUUUGGAAACUGUGCAGCUGGAGUGCAGGAGGGGG
rnacentral:rRNA from 1 species